UUGCGUCACGUCGACGAAGUCGC
rnacentral:misc_RNA from 1 species